rnacentral:rRNA from 1 species
GGCGGCGUGCUUAACACAUGCAAGUCGAACGGACUUACUGAAAAGAGGGCUUGCCCGAUGGAAGUAAAGUCAGUGGCGGACGGGUGAGUAACGCGUGGGUAACCUGCCUUACACAGGGGGACAACAGUUGGAAACGACUGCUAAUACCGCAUAAGCCGGUAAUGCCGCAUGGCAUCUUCGGAAAAAGAUUUUAUCGGUGUAAGAUGGGCCCGCGUUGGAUUAGUUAGUUGGCGGGUAACGGCCCACCAAGACGACGAUCCAUAGCCGACCUGAGAGGGUGAUCGGCCACAUUGGGACUGAGACACGGCCCAAACUCCUACGGGAGGCAGCAGUGGGGAAUAUUGCGCAAUGGGGGAAACCCUGACGCAGCAACGCCCGCGUGAGUGAAGAAGUAUUUCGGUAUGUAAAGCUCUAUCAGCAGGGAAGAAGAUGACGGUACCUGCAGAAGAAGUCCCGGCUAACUACGUGCCAGCAGCUGC